CUAUUCUGUUGUGAAAGCAUUCAUUUUAACGUCAUCAUUCCAGAACCUUGCAAUUUGUAAUGUCUAUACUUUGCAGUUCCACAUAUAAGUUUGAAUGCUGCUUUGCUGUACAGGCCUAACUCGUAUCCACUUGACAUGUUUCGACAAAAUAUGUUGCAUGUUAUUGAUGAGCUGGAGAAACAUUCAGGAAAGAAAGUGAUUAUGGGAGACUUCAAUGAGGACAUCUUGACAUCAUCUACAAUUGGAACAUUAAUGGAACUACAUGGAUACAGUCAACAUGUGCAACAUCCUACAACUGAGAAAGGUACACUGAUCGACCAUGUCUAUGUUAAAGAUGCAGAAAAUGUUUCGGUUGAAAUUGUGCAAACGUAUUACAGUUACCACCAAGCAAUACUUAUUUCACUGAGCUAAUAAUUCAUACGUGUGACAUGUACUGAAAUCAGUAUAACCGCAUUUUCUUUUCUGUGCCCUUACUAUGCAAUAUUAAUUCUGAGCUUUCAACUGGCAUACAACUGGAGAACAAGUGUACAACUGGAGAAGAUUCCAAGAUCGACAGAGUCCAGUCAAUCCAGCCUCAAAUUCAAACCAGUGAUCAUCGUUCACAAUCCUACAUCUCCAAUAAUUGCUCUUCUUUCUUGAGCUAAUAAGCUUCAUCCAGCCAAGUCAUAUUAUAAGCCAUCCAAACAAUAAUGGAUGCUUCCAAACAUCAUAGGAAGCAUCCACAAAGACUGCCUGCAUUCAUCCAGUUGUCUCCUAAUAUAUCACAAUUAAGUUAAUAGAAGACCACAAAAAUGGUCAAGAUUUACUAAAACUAACAAAGGUUUAUGCAUCAAAACUCAACAACUACUCUCAAAAGAUUUCUGCAAUGAGCUACACUUCUAACUUCCUCCUUAUCCAUUAUAUGAUUUUCUGCUCCACAAACUGUUUUUAUAAAGAAGCACACAACUGAUAAAAAGGUUUAUGCAUAAACUCAACAACUACUGUCCACUACUCUCAAAAGGUUUCUGCAAUGAGCUACACUUCUAACAUCCUCCUUAUCAUUAUAUGAUUCUCCGUUCCAUUAACUGUUUUUAUAAAGAAGCACAUAACUGAUAAAAAGCAAAACUCAACUACUGUCCACUACUCUCAAAAGUGAAGACAAAAACCAUUGUCAACUAUCAAUUCAGAAAAUGUCCCGGCAAAACUCUAAACUGAUGCAGGCAGUCAAUAGUCAGUUAUUUCACAAAUGAAUACAUAAUCACAAAAGUAACACAAUUAUAUAUAAAAUAUUGCAUGGAUGGCUUGUAUUAUAUUUAGCAUAUGUACAGUAAAUUUAUUUGGUGCCAGCCAAAGGAGGAUGGCCUUCCCCUGCUGAGUCUGGUUCCUCCCAAGGUUUCUCCCUAUACCACUCUGCUGAUGAUGCUCCACCACUUUGUCCAUGAUGCUCCUCUUUCCUAAUUUAGGGAGUUUUUCCUUGCCACUGUCGCCUUCUGGCUUGCUCACUUGGGUAUAAAGGCACAAUAUUUUCAAUGUAAACUGAGUAAAGUCUUUGUAAAAAUAAAUAAAUAAAAUAAAUACAUGAUGGAUUC